AUUAAGUGUUUUUAAAAUGCAAUUGCUAAAUUUUAAUUUUCUUUUAUAUUUGUAUAGUUAUUAUUUAAAAUUUUUGUUGUUGUUGUUAUCUUUAAAGAUUCUUCUGCAAAACACCACAAAAUAAGAUGAUUCAAUAUCAUUUAAUGGUACUCCCUUUAUGGUUUUAGGAUGUAAAGUGCUUGAUUGUAUGCACGGGAAUGAUAGAAAAGCCUCUUCUAAAGAAUUUUAUAAAAUUCAUUUAUUAUUAUAAUAUGUUUUUCUUUAUCAAUUUGUUUCUAAAAUAGCUCCUGUAUUUAAUGAUUAUAUGUCUAAACCUUUUAUUUUUGUUCUUUUGUCUAAUUUUCUUAAUAGGUAUCAGAUCACAGUUUUUCAAAAAGCUAUUUGCUAUAUCUAAAUUUCUUGGUCACCAAGAAAUUUAACUGUAGUUUUCAAAUAAAAAUUUAGAAAAUUUAAAAGUUCCCAAGUUUUAAGAUUGCUGAGGAUACUAAAUUUAGAAGAGUGCAAUUCUCAAACCGUAUUAAAGAUGCUUUGUCAAGAAUAAAGUAGUAAGGGAAAGAGUGUUUCCAGUUUGCUUUCCUUCAAAAAGUUCUCAUACUGGUCAUUUUACUAGAGAUGAUACUUAUUACUUAAGUAUAAAGACGUCCGAAACUUGUGUUGUUUAAUGAAUCUUAAUGUAAGUAAAGAUGUUACUACAAAAUAAUAACAGUUUAUGUGAUUAGGAAAUUAUUUGUUUAUUUAGUAUAAGGUUUAAGUCUAUAAUAUA